rnacentral:rRNA from 1 species
AUGAACGCUGGCGGCGUGCCUAAUACAUGCAAGUCGAGCGAACAGACGAGGAGCUUGCUCCUCUGACGUUAGCGGCGGACGGGUGAGUAACACGUGGAUAACCUACCUAUAAGACUGGGAUAACUUCGGGAAACCGGAGCUAAUACCGGAUAAUAUAUUGAACCGCAUGGUUCAAUAGUGAAAGACGGCUUUGCUGUCACUUAUAGAUGGAUCCGCGCCGCAUUAGCUAGCUGGUAAGGUAACGGCUUACCAAGGCGACGAUGCGUAGCCGACCUGAGAGGGUGAUCGGCCACACUGGAACUGAGACACGGUCCAGACUCCUACGGGAGGCAGCAGUAGGGAAUCUUCCGCAAUGGGCGAAAGCCUGACGGAGCAACGCCGCGUGAGUGAUGAAGGUCUUCGGAUCGUAAAACUCUGUUAUUAGGGAAGAACAAAUGUGUAAGUAACUAUGCACGUCUUGACGGUACCUAAUCAGAAAGCCACGGCUAACUACGUG